AUUGAACGCUGGCGGAAUGCUUUACACAUGCAAGUCGAACGGCAGCACGGGGGCAACCCUGGUGGCGAGUGGCGAACGGGUGAGUAAUACAUCGGAACGUGCCCAGUCGUGGGGGAUAACGUAGCGAAAGUUACGCUAAUACCGCAUACGAUCUACGGAUGAAAGCGGGGGACCGUAAGGCCUCGCGCGAUUGGAGCGGCCGAUGUCAGAUUAGGUAGUUGGUGAGGUAAAGGCUCACCAAGCCGACGAUCUGUAGCUGGUCUGAGAGGACGACCAGCCGCACUGGGACUGCGACACGGCCCAGACUCCUACGGGAGGCAGCAGUGGGGAAUUUUGGACAAUGGGCGCAAGCCUGAUCCAGCCAUUCCGCGUGCAGGACGAAGGCCUUCGGGUUGUAAACUGCUUUUGUACGGAACGAAAAGGCUCUGGUUAAUACCUGGGGCUCAUGACGGUACCGUAAGAAUAGGCACCGGCUAACUACGUGCCAGCCGCCGCAGUAA
rnacentral:rRNA from 1 species